UCCGCCAUGUGAUGCGAUGGAUCUCCAUCUCUUCAAGUGAACAUCACUGGAAGUCCAGAGUCAGGAGGGCCAUUGGUCUGACCUUGAAAAGCCUAUGACGAUCGUGCCGAAAGUGAUCGGCGGAAGCAGUGAACCAUCAUUGCAGGGCCCAAGUGUGACAUGUGACCUGCAGGGUACGUGGGCAAAUAUCAUGUGACAUCCAACAGAGCAGGUAUUCGUCGAACCAUUCGACAACACUUAUCAUCCAAUCAAGGGCACCCAAGGGAACUGCGGCGCUUGUACACUGCUAUAACAUCGAUUAAGAUACCUGGCUCGAACUCUGCUACAUGAGCUGCCCUGGACGUUGUCGUGUUUCUUUCCACAUUAUGUAAAGGCCUGAGUAUGUAAAAACACCCAGAGGGACGACACCAACACACGAGCACACAAUCGGUGUGCCAAGGCCCAGGCUCUUACACAAUGGAGUUCGUCCACCUCCUUGACUGCGUAUGCGCGAUCUUGUCGUGUUUCCUUGUUCUGUGGUGCGGAAUUUAUCUCUUCAUCUCCAAGGAUAUGGCUUCGACACCUGAAUUUGAUCUCGCUGUGGAAACGUCGCGAGAGUGGGAAGGCGUCAGGAAAGAAAUGCACGAAGCCAUUGUGGCGGAAGACGAGGCUCGUGUUCUAAAGUGUCUGGAUGCCGUGCCUGCUUUGAAACUGUGGUUGGACCCUGUUAAAGAAAAAUCAGCUCGUUACAGAGCUGUUAAAAAGAGAGCCAUCCGUAUACAUGGCCUUUUAGUCUCGCGUGGAUGUGUCCUCAAAAACACCAACGAAUCAUCAUAUUAUCAACAUCUCUCACCCGUCCAUCAAGCUGAAAUUCGACGGCAACGAUACUACACCACAUAAUGCAAAGACUCCUACAUCUAUUUCUUGAGAAGCAAAUCAAGGAGCCACGUUAGACUUAAUGACUUGGAGAAGCGGUUGGAGAAGAUGUUCAGGGAACUUUCAACCGACCAAUUCAACGGGAAAAUAUUGAAAGUUGUUGCUACAGCACCGCACCUGGAUAUAGGAUUAGACUACAACAGUGAAAACGUUCAGGGGACCACGGGGUGCAGCGGCAGCCGCGUCCUCGGACUUGCUACCUGCGGAGAGCAAACACUUUUUAUCGGGGCCAGAGCAACGUAAAUCGAAGUCCGGGGAACGUUUAUUCGCGAAUCAUGUCAGUGGGCACUUUAUUUGGUGUAUAAAAAUGAUGGUAAGCCGUAUUUCUGCGAAGAUACAGAAAAGGAACAGGGAUACAGAGCCAUUCUGGAUGACAUAAAACAAAGAGAAAACUAUGUGGAUGUAUUCAUCCAACAAGCUUUUAUCACACCACAACAACUUUAUUUCAGGAUAAUGGGUAGGGAAUCAAAAAUGAAUAACAAGAAGCGAGCGUUCGUGUCCCACGCAUACUAACUCAAUAUGGCAGCGACCACGGAUGUAUGGUUCUGGAUCAGGAGAUACCAGAAAUACGUAGGUUUUUUGAGGAUAGUGUCAUUCCGGACAUGAAGAAAUACAUUCAAAAUGGAAUCCCGUCGACAGAUGCGACACAGAUAGAAAAGGAAAAAAAGGCGAGACUCAACAAAGCUUUGAAUGUUGGCAAACUCAAAGUCAAAUUCGAGAACCAACUAAAGAACAGUGUCUGGGAAAACAGAUUGCUUCAUGUUUUUACUGGUCCAGAACUGACGCUUUUCGAAAUAAUGGUUCACAAUGCUGUGCAAUCUACGGGAGGCCAUACUUGUUUUUCGAAGUAAACCAGCUGGACUCCACACUGAAGCAUGUGUUACUUCGAAGACCUCUGACCCACCAUCACCGUACUUUUAACUACCGCAAAACCAGGCACUGACGGAGCACUUAUUAAGGAAUAGUGAGCCGUCCUUUCUGCCUAACCUUUCCUGUGAACGUUAGUAGCUUCCCUCUCUUGCGAACGCUUAUUUUUCAACGGAGAGUUUUGAUCGAUUAUUUUUAGCGGACAUUUGUAACCGCAUAUUAUAGGCGAUAUGUUUUUGACAGCAUAUUUUGUACGAUUUAUUUUGAAACGGUGACGUUCUGUAAACGGUAGAAGUGCAAGGGUGCAGGCGAGCUGGUACAUUGUAAGGCGACGAUAAAACUACCCCAUAAGCUCUUUAACGCCCUUUCAUUCUGAUAAGUCAGUUUACCGUAUUUCUCACAAGACCCGCUUCGUUGAGUGCGCCGUAGGCGUUGUGUAUUAUAUACCUUUUGCAUGUGGUUUUUGCUACGUAGGACAGUCUGGUAGAUGCUUAGACAUUAGACUCUUAGAGCAUAAAAGAAAUGCAGAGAGCCUUUCAGGAAAUUCAGAAUUGGUCGAACACUUGAGAGAUUGUCACAAUUGUUUCCCGCUUUUCCAAGAGACAAGUGUAUUGAAAAAGGUGCGUGACCCGUUUGGGCGACUCUUAGCUGAGUACAAAGAGAUUAAGUCACGAGGCAAUUGCGUUAGUGUUCCCUCUGUUUCCCCCUUUCCACCCAUCAGGAGGUUAUUGGGAGUGUAGGCUGUCAUUAAAUGGGUUGCUGUGUCUGAUAACGUGUCGUGUCGUCUUUUUUGUUCCGUGUCUCCGGUUUUAUCGUCGUGUUACGUUCUGUAAGUUUGUACGGACGCCUUUCGGUCUGCCUAUAGCUCACUAGCUAUAUUCUCCAGUGGAGAAACCACCUUAGAGAGUGUAACAGAUUAGUAAUGGAUGGACACAGACCCUGCUCUCACCCUGGAAGAGCAUGCUCCCUUUUGGCCCGAUCUGAAGGAAGACCAGAGCAAGUGUAUAGAGCAUAUACUGUAAUACAAGAUUUUGAUGGCACGUUCGUUAAAUGUAUUGAGGCGUGAAACAUUUGCAACGGUGAGGAGAUGCGACUUUGCAAUAACCUGUCUGUCUGCAAGUGUCGAGGUAUACCCAAUAGCGUUUCUCACAUGCCUUCUUGUCAAAUACCAAGUUUUCAAUUCAAGCUAUUCUAUAUAAUGUGAUUACCUGCUAGGUGGAGCUGUACAAGUCAUCAAAUUCCUCUGUUUUGUGACGAGUGUUGCACACACACAAAUGUUUUGAAAGGGCAGCAGCUCGCCGACGAUAGAAAUACCUAACGAUUUUACUAGUCUCAUGUCUACUUUUAUCUUGCUCUCAGCACAAGAAAAAAGUUGCUGUCGGAACAAGAUGUCACAAAUGUCACAAAUUUAUCCGUAUAUCUCCAAACGAUGUCCUGACGACGUUCAUGUGACAUUCAAUCCAUGGAUAUCUCUGAGAUCUGCAACCUACUUCUUCCUUCGAGACAUCCAAAGCGCGAUAUCUUGCAGACGUAUCCGCGACAUCAGGUAUUUACCGAGUAAAACCGAAACGUGAAUGUCGUUCUGGGACGUCCCAUGAUUAUCGCACGGAUAUCCGGAUAUUCAAGACGUUAACGACCAUGUAGGGAUGUCCUAGGAAUAUUAAUGAUUUACUAAGAACAGUGUAACAAAGUGUGCAUACACAUUAGUUGACUAAUUGACAUGCAGCAGCUCUUCUGGCACCUCUAUUUUGCACCUCGUGUUGCAGUAAGAAUACGUAUUCUACGAGUAUAUGCUGAUAGCUGUGCUAGGAUCCACGCAAUGUCCAGCAUAGCAGACCUGAAACAGAAACCAGUACACACGUAUAGCUGUGAGAUAUGAAGAAAAUACACGUACUGAUUAUGAAUGUAUUACUGAUACUAUGUCCACGUGUUCUUGAUCCACUUGGGGACUGAUUGUGCUCGUCAGGGCACCUCGCCGCAAUUAGAUCAGCACUGGAGCGUAAUGUUCAUGUAACUUCAUGUAAUGUUCAUGUAACUACACAGUUAGAGCGGCUUUAGAGGGUCAGUACCUACGGUUAGUUGCGAUUGCGGUAGUUGAUUGCGGUAGUUACGGUUAGUUGAUGCAAUUGUUGUUGUGCGAUUACGGUUGUUGCGCGAUUACGGUUAGUUGCGAUUACCAUAGCGAUAGAUGUGGUUGUGUUCCGGAUUUUCGGGGUACUACUGUCCUAGGGAGAGCCAGCUAGAGCCCUGCACGGGCACGGGCCCCCGACCCGGCCCGCGGGCCGGGCCGACAAAUAUGUUCCCGAGAGUCAGGCCCCGCCGGGCCACGCAGCUAAUUCCACACAAUGGAGAUGCAUUUGUUCAUAUCAUCAUGGGCUUGCGUCAUUCCUGUGCAUAUUUUGCAAAGACAAACAAAGGAUACCGCAUUAUGCGUAUGAUUCGACCCUCUAGAACAUUCUCCAAGCCACUUUACAUUGCUCCUCACUCCUCACAUAUUUCACAAUCACUUUGGCAAAGCUUGGUGAGAGGGGUAGGGACUGGGAGAAGCAGUUGCAACAGCAUGCUUUACCUCCGCAAAAUCUUGACAGUGUAACGAUAACGCCCAUGCCCGCGUGCGUUCUGGAUUUAAUUUGGUCUCGUGCGGUUACGGUGUUAAACCGCCAUCACUUGUAUGUUUGUCUUAUCUCGUUAUAAAUUUACUUAUAAAUUUGUUUGAUAAUCGCCAGAAACGUGUACGUCGCGGCUGGAAAUACUAGGCCGCAUUUCUACUCGCCGGGUCACCGGGCCGCGCCGAGCCGGGCCGGGCGGGGCCGCAUAAAAAUAUGAAGGUCCGGGCCCGGGUCGGGCCGGGCCAUUUUUCGAUGCGCCCGGGCCGGGUCGGGCCCGGAAAAGUCGGCCCGUGCAGGACUCUAAGCCAGACAUCAAAUCACCCGGGAGAUAAUGGAAGCGCAUCGUAUACUUUUGGCGGGGGAAGGCAAGUGUGUUAGCCAACCAUCUAUUGCACUAUCUGAUAAAGAACUUGCCUUCCUAAAUACCUAAUUUACACACCAUAUUAUCUACUGGCAGCCAUGAUUCCAUCAGCAUGUAUUAAGGCUUUGUAACCCGGCACGUGUCGCCUGAUACCGGUUGUGUAUUUAUGGAGUAUUUUCCUGCAAUACAUUUCAGUUGUGAGUGA